rnacentral:rRNA from 1 species
AUUGAACGCUGGCGGCAGGCCUAACACAUGCAAGUCGAGCGGGAACCUCAGGAGGGGUAACCCUCCUGAGGGGAGAGCGGCGAACGGGUGAGUAACACGUGGGCAACCUGCCCCGGACACCGGGAUAACCCAGGGAAACCUGAGCUAAUACCGGAUACUCCGGCGAGAUCGCAUGGUCGCGCCGGGAAAGCUCCGACGGUCCGGGAUGGGCCCGCGGCCUAUCAGCUUGUUGGUGGGGUAACGGCCCACCAAGGCGACGACGGGUAGCUGGUCGGAGAGGACGGCCAGCCACACUGGGACUGAGACACGGCCCAGACUCCUACGGGAGGCAGCAGUGGGGGAUCUUGCGCUAAUGCGCGAAAGCGUGACGCAGCGACGCCGCGUGGGGGAUGAAGGCCCUCGGGUUGUAAACCCCUUUCGGCAGGGACGAAGCGAAAGUGACGGUACCUGCAGAAGAAGUCCCGGCUAACUACGUGCCAGCAGCCGCCGUAAAAC